AAGGGGAGGAGGCCCAAGUCUGCUCGAGUCUUAAAGCCACGGAGCCCAGACUCAGAGGCUAUUACAUUCAAGAAGGUGACGCCUGGGCCUGGAAGGUGUCACAGACCAGGGCUGAGGAGGCAGCUCUUGCCAGGAUCAUCAUGCGCAAUAGGAAUCCUCACGGAGAAAGGAGAGAAACAAGAACCUGCUCCUGGACAGUCCUUUGACCUCUCUAUAUGUGUGCUCCUGGAGCCUGGGAACCAACACUGAAUGAACGAAUGAAUGAAUGAAUGAUUGUAACUAGAAAGAGCUUCCCAGCAUUGAAGAAUGUCUCAGUCUCGGGGAAUAGAACGUUUUAAUCUUGGAGGAAAGCGUUUCACAACACUAUGACUAACAACUCCAGUCGCAGAGGUCCUGAUGCCCUCUUCCGGUCCCUGCUGGUGCACAGACCCUGAAGCCCAAACACCAAGGCUCAGAAGAAAAGUAAAUAUAGCUUUAAAAAUAAAAUAAAAAUUUAAAUGUUUAUUUCUGACUUGUGUGUAGGGCUGGUGAACCCCAACCUUCUCUAAGUGUGCUUAAUCUCAUGGGUAUUUCUUCAGUUCCUUUUUACUUUUUAUUUUGAAACGGGGUCUCAAUA